UACGGGGGGGGCAAGCGUUGUUCGGAAUUACUGGGCGUAAAGGGCGCGUAGGCGGUUUGCUAAGUUGGAUGUGAAAACUCUGGGCUUAACCCAGAGCCUGCAUCCAAAACUAGCAGGCUAGAGUUCUGGAGGGGAUAGCGGAAUUCCUGGUGUAGCGGUGAAAUGCGUAGAUAUCAGGAGGAACACCGGUGGCGAAGGCGGCUAUCUGGACAGAAACUGACGCUGAGGCGCGAAAGCUAGGGGAGCAAACAGG
rnacentral:rRNA from 1 species